AGACACACGGCGGUCGCACCAGAAUCUAAAGUACGCGGCCGUUGCACGCGCCCUUAUCGUGCACUCCGCAAUAAUGCGCAGUUCCUUGUGUCUGCAGAUGCCCGUUUUGGGUAAGACAGAUAUACAAGAGGAGAGCGUCGAGGGCUCAUCAUCACCGUAUGUGGUUGCUGUAUGGCUCGUCCUCCAUCUCUAGAGAUCUCGACCGUUGAUUCUACUUCCCUGCUCUUCGCCGGCUUAGAUCUGUUCGAACCGAAGCCAGAGAAUAUGGACUUUAUGGACAUUGAUCAGGUGAUGGAUGUUCCUGACACUCCUGAUAGACUGACCUCACGGCAGAAGAUUAGUUUGAAUGUUAGUGGCGAUGCUGCAAAUGGUGACUUACUCAAUAGGGGAAUUCUCAAUGGGCUCAGGGGCAGCCGCAGGCUAAACACCAAUAAUGGAAAUAGCAAAAACUCAUAUUCUCGUCGCCAGAGAGAUCUUGAUGAUCAUAACGAAAUUAAGCAUGGCAGUUCACUCAUUGAUUCUGCUGCAGAUAGUGCAUCUGUUUCUGAUGGUUUCGAUGAGUCUACAAUGAGAUUGGCUGAUCAGAUUUCCAAAAGGAAUGAGACUAAACUCUCCGCACAAACUCAACAUACAGAGUCUGCGCCUUAUCAGAACAAACCUCUGUUACGCAUUCCUUCCAGUUCACAAUGGUCCACUGAUCAUCUAGUUGACAGAUCUAAGCUUUGCAGCAGCACUUCUGAUAUCAAUGGUAGCUCAGCCUCUGAUGUCAAAAUUCAUGGUGGAAAUAGAGGAAGAAAGAUUGGUUUAAGCCAGAAGAUUCCCUCUGAUAGUUUCUUUCCCACUAAAAUUAGAGAUGCGAGACGUCGGAUGCUUCCAUGCCAUGGAAACUCUAGUUCAGAAAAGGACCUUUGCACUGAGAUUCCUCCUCGAUCUUUCACUUGGCAGGAUGCCGAUCAUGUUUUGGAUAGUUCUGAGCGACACGAGUAUACUGGAAAACCUGAAAGGCCUUGUUCCAUUGGCAGAUUUGAAAAAGUUGGAGCCAAAGAGGUGGAUACAGGAUCAGUUAUCUCUUCUGGAUCAAUCAGAGAAUCACGAAGCAAGUCGCAAGCAACCCAUGGUCUUUUUCCUCUGUAUGAUGCUGACAAUUAUUCUAAAGCAUCUGGUAAUGCCCGUAAAAGAGAAACAGAUGGUACAUUAGAUGGAGCUGGUGUAAGUAUUAAUCAUGUAAAUGUUAAUGCUGAAUUGAUGGGUAAUGAUAAGGGAAAAGGGAUUGAUUUGUUCCACAAACCUCCACCUAAAACUGCACAAUCCGCAUCAAUAUCAUUGACUGUCGCUUCACCCAGGAAAACCGGGCAGAGGCGGCUGGUACGCAAUGGGUGUAUUUCUCCAUAUAAUAUAGCGAAGAGCAAAAGCACAUCUGACUACGGCAGGAAUGCCAGGGAUGAUAAACAAGAUGAGAAUGACAAAAGGACAUGCAACGACCUUCCUGAUGGGAAUUCCUCAUGUCAGGUACAUAUCAUCAGUCCUGGUUCUGAAGGCAACCAGAUUGAUAAAAUGAAGGGAAAAGGGAUAGUGAACGAACACAUGCCCGAAAACGAUUGUGAUGCUAGAACUAAAUCUCUGUCGAGCAGGAAUUUCUCGAUUCCCAGGGAGAAGGAUUCUGGCAUUGGAGAUGAUGCCAUUGAUGAUAUUUUUAGAUCUGCUGAAGAAAUCGGAGGGUGGAGAAACACUCGUAAUCUUUUGAAGGCGGCAUAUUUGCCCUCAUCUCAUGACAUUGGAGGUCAUUCAACGAUAAAUAAUGGUGGCUGUGAUUCAUUUAAUCAGAGCCAUGGAGGCAAAAUGGAAGAUGGGAAUUACUUGACAGAGGUAAAUGCUAGCCCUGAAUUUGACUUUCAUAAAGAUGGGGAUCCCAUCAUUCUACAGCAUGUUGGACCUAAUACACGUCUAGUUCAAGCAUCUUCAAGCGUUAUCUCUGAGUCAAACCCUGAAAAUAAUGAAAGACAGAAGGGCAAGCAAAAGCUAAUGAAAAGACAAAGGAAGACUCCAGCAUCAUGCAAUAAUCUUGGCGAAUGCUCUAGUUUGACUUUUGAUGGCCCAGAAGUCUCAUUUGUCCGAUCGUCUGGGCAACCCUCAAAUGUGAAACCCUCAAAUGUGAAACCAACCAGAACUCGCAAUUCUCAGCGACGUGGCAACUUGAUACCGGUUAUAGAAGUUGAUGAGCCAUGUUCUCCUGAGGCAAUAUUUAUAGACCAACAAGAUGCAGGUCGCUUGGUUAAUGAUGACUCUGGCACAAGGGCUAGACAAGUUGAAGCAGAUGAGAUAUUGGCUCGUCAACUCCAAGAGCAGUUCUAUUCCGAAUCGCCAGGAAUGGAAGGUGGAGAGAUGGAUGCAAGUCUAGCAUGGACACUACAACAUGACGAAGAUGCGCAGCGUCUUACUUCUAUUGGGAAUCGUCACCUAUUGCAUCCUAGAGACUCAUCGGUUGGACAUUCAUAUAGAGGCCACUCGUCACAGUCUUUCCCUAGUUCUUCAGCCCGGCCAACAAAUCGUGCUCCAGCAUAUACCUCUAGACGAAUGCAACAGUUAAGGAGAAAUUUUUAUGGUCAUUCUCCUGCUGCAUCUUCUAGAGGAAGGAAUUUUCAAUUUCCCCCACAUAUGAAUUUAGAGACGAGAAUUGACUUCCUGGAAGCAUUGGAAGCAGCAGUUGCCAACAGGAAUAGCGCGACAAUGGCCAGUCACUUCUUUCAAGUCCAGCGUGAUUUUAAUGAGAAUGACUAUGAGAUGUUACUGGCUCUUGACGAUGACAACCAUCAGCAUGUUGGUGCAUCUCUCAAUCAGAUCAACAGCCUGCCAGAGUCAACAAUCCAGACUGAUAAUUUUGAAGAAGCAUGUGCUAUCUGCCUUGAAACCCCGUCCACUGGAGAUACGAUCCGCCAUUUACCAUGCUUACAUAAAUUUCACAAAGAGUGCAUUGAUCCAUGGCUCAGAAGGAGAACAUCGUGUCCAAUUUGCAAGUCAUCUAUCACUUGAUCUGCAUGAAAUGUACAUGUGACAUGAGCUAUUGAUGUGGGUGGGCAAUCGAAGCUGUGCAAGCACUUCUCAGAAAUGGGUCGUCCAGGUCCUCUACGAGCUGGUAGCCGCAGGACGAAUAAGAAGGAGGAAUGGAGUAGAAGAGAGAGAAAUGGUUCGCCAGACUCUCAAGAUCUUCUUCUAUCUCUUCAUCUUCUGCUUGGAUGUCUCUGUGAUAGGGUAUGCAUAUUCAGAGGGAUUGGAAGAUGCUGCAGAAACAUUGAGUAGCUUCGCCUUCUGCGCCACCAGAUUCUUCGCAGAACUAACACUCGCCAUUUGGGCUGGUUUCCUCCCUCAGGCCAGGACUUCUGAAGCAAUGUUCGCCCUCUCCAUCGUUACGGGCCUUGUAUUCUUCACCAGAGCUGUGUUUCUCUUGGCGCGUGGGUCUUGGUCCUUCAGCUUCGUUAUUGGAGUUAAUUCGCUGAUCUGGUUCUCGAGGGGGCGUCAGGCAGCCCCCGGCCACGCUCAUCAGAUGUAGGACCUGCUUAUUGAUGUUGACACGUGGGCGAUAUCACACACGAGCGUGGUUCCACGGUACUUAUCUUUCGGUGAGUGUUUGGAUUCGAGCUAGGGUUUUGGACUAUUUUAGGUAUUUUGCGAUUUUGUACGGAGACGAGGAGAGAGAUGAUGAUGAUGGCAGGUGAUGCAAUUUUCUACAGUUUUGUGGUUCUUUUGUUUGCAGGGCUUUUGCUUAAAUGACAGAGAGAGUGUGGAAAUCAAAUCUCUUCCUGCUAUAGAGUUUGUUCCUUUUCUUCUUC